GAUGAACGCUGGCGGCGUGCUUAACACAUGCAAGUCGAACGGGAAACCUUUUAUUGAAGCUUCGGCAGAUUUAGCUGGUUUCUAGUGGCGGACGGGUGAGUAACGCGUGGGUAACCUGCCUUAUACAGGGGGAUAACAACCAGAAAUGGUUGCUAAUACCGCAUAAGCGCACAGGACCGCAUGGUCCGGUGUGAAAAACUCCGGUGGUAUAAGAUGGACCCGCGUUGGAUUAGCUAGUUGGCAGGGUAACGGCCUACCAAGGCGACGAUCCAUAGCCGGCAUGAGAGGGUGAACGGCCACAUUGGGACUGAGACACGGCCCAGACUCCUACGGGAGGCAGCAGUGGGGAAUAUUGCACAAUGGGGGAAACCCUGAUGCAGCGACGCCGCGUGAAGGAAGAAGUAUCUCGGUAUGUAAACUUCUAUCAGCAGGGAAGAUAGUGACGGUACCUGACGAAGAAGCCCCGGCUAACUACGUG
rnacentral:rRNA from 1 species